rnacentral:tRNA from 1 species
GGUGGGGUUCCCGAGCGGCCAAAGGGAGCAGACUGUAAAUCUGCCGUCAUCUACUUCGAAGGUUCGAAUCCUUCCCCCACCACCA